UUGCAUGCGGAGAUGUCUGCUCCCCAUUCCUUUGGGAGCAGGAAUACAUCCAUAACAUGCUACAUUAAAAAAGGAGUUCUCAGGGCUGCCAACCUUACAGUAGAGGUUGAGUAGUAGUAUAUUUCUCCUACAUAA